rnacentral:lncRNA from 1 species
CUCACCAAAUCUGAUCCUGUGCGACAAAAUUACAAUUAGCGACCGCACGUCCCGUGGGUGGCUGGUUUGUUUUGGCCGCUGCGGCCAUAAUUCCUUUUAACCACUACUACAAUAAACCUUUAAAUAUUAAAAUAAAAUAUUAUUUGACAAUACGUUUUUAACGGAAGUAAUGUCUCAUUCCGGUUGAGCGAGAAGCGCCAUGACGACUUGAAUGCAUAUUAUAUGGUAAUUGUGUAUCGCACCUUGGAGACGUGUCACUCAGGUGUGUGAUAAAUAACUAAACCCGGUUGGGUAUAAAAAGUCUUUAUCAGUUUAAAUACUCUCGCUUUUUACACCAAUAAUCUAUAAUCUACUUUACAUAAAACAACAGUACUUGGG